UACGUAGGGGGCAAGCGUUGUCCGGAAUUACUGGGUGUAAAGGGCGCGUAGGCGGUGCGUUAAGUCGGCGGUGAAAUACUUCGGCUCAACCGGAGAAUUGCCGCUGAAACUAGCGUGCUCGAGGAAGGUAGAGGUGCGUGGAACUUCCGGUGGAGCGGUGAAAUGCGUUGAUAUCGGAAGGAACACCUGUGGCGAAAGCGAUGCACUGGACCUUUUCUGACGCUGAGGCGCGAAAGCCAGGGGAGCGAACGGG
rnacentral:rRNA from 1 species